rnacentral:rRNA from 1 species
UAAUCGCGCAUCAGCCAUGGCGCGGUGAAUACGUUCCCGGGCCUUGUACACACCGCCCGUCACACCAUGGGAGUUGGGAGCACCCGAAGCCGGUGAGUUGACCGCAAGGGGACAGCCGUCGAAGGUGAGACUGAUGACUGGGGUGAAGUCGUAACAAGGUAUC